rnacentral:rRNA from 1 species
GACGAACGCUGGCGGCGUGCUUAACACAUGCAAGUCGAGCGGUAAGGCCCUUUCGGGGGUACACGAGCGGCGAACGGGUGAGUAACACGUGGGUGACCUGCCCUUAGCUCUGGGAUAAGCCUGGGAAACUGGGUCUAAUACCGGAUAUGACUCCAUGACGCAUGUUGUGGGGUGGAAAGCCUUGUGCGGCUAGGGGAUGGGCCCGCGGCCUAAUCAGCUUGUUGGUGGGGUNAUGGCCACCAAGGCGACGACGGGUAGCCGGCCUGAGAGGGCGACCGGCCACACUGGGACUGAGACACGGCCCAGACUCCUACGGGAGGCAGC